rnacentral:rRNA from 1 species
GUGCCAGCCCGGUAAUACGUAGGGACCGAGCGUUGUCCGGAUUCAUUGGGCGUAAAGAGCUCGUAGGCGGCUGCUCAAGUCGAACGUGAAACUCGGAGCUCAACUCCGAGCCUGCGUUCGAUACUGGACGGCUAGAGUCUGGUAGGGGGAUCUGGAAUUCCUGGUGUAGCGGUGGAAUGCGCAGAUAUCAGGAGGAACACCGGUGGCGAAGGCGGGAUCCUGGGCCAGUACUGACGCUGAGGAGCGAAAGCGUGGGGAGCAAACAGGG